rnacentral:tmRNA from 1 species
GGGGCUGACUGGAUUUGACAGCAAGGGGAUGGACUUGUAAGCAUGCAGGCUCACGCAUCAGCAGCCUUGACCACCGAUGCACUAAAUUUAAUUGGCGAAAAUAACUACGCUCUUGCUGCAUAACCGAAGCACAGUAGGUUUGCUUAAUUCUCACAAAAGUUGUGGGGACAAGACAUCUCCCGCAGGCCCAGCCCGCCGGCGUGCGAUCAGGAGGUGCUCGUAAAGACGGGAUAGCCGUUGACAGGCUCCGUAUCGACGGUGAAUUUUUAGGAGCUAAGGUUUCCAAUGGGUGUCUGUGUCCGCUGGCGGCUCGAAAACCAAUCACAGAAUAAGCAUGUAGAAAGCAAUUUUGUCACUUGUUUGGACGGCGGUUCGAACCCGCCCAGCUCCACAA